CUGCUACAAACAGACCAGAUGUUCUUGAUUCAGCAUUGCUAAGGCCCGGAAGGUUUGAUCGACAAGUUACUGUCGACCGCCCUGAUGUUGCCGGGAGAGUCAAGAUUCUUCAGGUGCAUUCAAGAGGGAAGGCCCUUGCUAAAGAUGUCGACUUCGAAAAGAUAGCAAGGAGAACCCCUGGUUUCACUGGAGCUGAUCUGCAAAACUUGAUGAAUGAAGCAG
rnacentral:misc_RNA from 1 species